GUGUGCUGAACAAUCCCAUCAGCAACCAGAGCACACAUCUGGACAUCAACACACUCUGCAGACACACAUGUGCAGCAGACACACACUCUUCUUCACUCUCUCCAGUAUCUCUGAUAGUGUUGAUCUCUGCUUCUGCUGGAUCUCUGAUGAUUGUAGUUAUAGUCGUGAUCUUCUGCAUCUGCAAGAAGUGUAGAAAAACAGCAGUUCAGACUGAUGAAGAAGACAGAAGUCAUUCAGCAUUGUGUAAACCAUCAGCACGUAAAAAGAAAUCAAAAACGGAGUCUGUGUAUGAAAAUGUCCCCAGAAAACGAUGAUCUUUAUCCACCAGGACUGAUGGAGUCAUACUGGAUCCGGUCGCACACCUUUUGUUUUUGCUCACAUUUAUUCCCCGUUUUCACUCUCUCUGUGUGUGUGUGUGUUAUUGUGAUGUCUGAAAUUUUGUUAUAAUUUAGUGGUUCCCCAAUUGCAUAUCAUCCAUAAACUCAACUAAAAUGCUCUAUUUUUAUCAUAUUGUAGGCUACAUAACUUUCAUAAGUAAAUAUUGAUUCCACCCUUCACUGUGCUUCUACGCCUGCCAUUACUCUUCUUGUUUUUAAAAAUAAUCAAUUGAACUGCAUUGAAUAGUGGUUUAAGUAGCAGACACAAAAUAAGCUGUUUGAUAUUUUAGCAAAUCUAACAAGCACAUCAUCGCUCUCUAGUGUUCAAAGCGGAAAAUCACAUCUCUCUAAUAAUAUCUCUACUUUUAACCGAUAGGGUGCGCUAUUUUAGAGAUGUUGAUGCU